UACGUAGGGUGCAAGCGUUAAUCGGAAUUACUGGGCGUAAAGCGUGCGCAGGCGGUUAUGUAAGACAGAUGUGAAAUGCCCGGGCUUAACCUGGGAACUGCAUUUGUGACUGCAUGGCUAGAGUUUGGCAGAGGGGGGUAGAAUUCCACGUGUAGCAGUGAAAUGCGUAGAUAUGUGGAGGAACACCGAUGGCGAAGGCAGCCCCCCUGGGUCAAGACUGACGCUCAUGCACGAAAGCGUGGGGAG
rnacentral:rRNA from 1 species